rnacentral:tRNA from 1 species
GGGGUUGUAGCUCAGUGGUAGUGCACUUGCCUGGCAUGUGUGAGGCCCUGGGUUCGAUUCUCAGCAGUGCAU